AAAGAUUGCUCGAGAACUAUUUCAAACAGCCAUUCUCCUAGCCAAUGUGGAGAUCACAAAGGCGGAACACUCCAGGUUCCAUGUUAGGGACUCCUAUGAUAUGCUUCUUCAGAGGAUAAGUCAGAAUUGGUCUCGUGCCUCAUUUUUUUGUGCUUGUCACCUUGCAUUUUGAUAUUUUUUUUGCAGCAUAUCUACCACCUUGAGUACUUCAUACAAGCAUUGAAGAUCAUAGAAGCGGCUGUGGAUGAGGAUAAGGCGAGAGCUCAAGUAGCUGAGGCGAGGGUGGCAAGGCAUUGGGGGCUGAGGAGAAGCCUUGAAAUACCUUGGUUGGCACCAGUUGGGACUUGAACACUCUCAUAGCCAAGGUCAAAGUGGUCGAGGAGAAGACUACCCAAGUCAAGGUCGAGGUUACUAAGGCCCUUUGUACUAUCGAGGCUAAGUGGGAAGAGGAGCUCCAGGCCACAAAAAAAAGGGUAGUUGAGGAGUAUUGCACCUCAGCCAAGUAUUAGGAGAUUUUGGAAGAAUUCACUGCCAAUUCAUACCUGAAGGGGAUAGUGGACUGCUAGGCCAAGUGCAGGGCUAGUUCCUGGACCUCGACCUUAGCCAUCUUGAUGAUGAUGACGAACAUCCAUGGGUCGAAGAGGAGGGCACCAAGCUAGUCGAGAUUUUGAAGGUUGCCAAGACUAUGGUCCCAACCCCAGUUGUCAAUCCCCUUGGUGAGGAGAUUGCCCCACCUGCCAAUGUCUGGACCUUUAUGGCCUUUGCUUGUUUUUUCUUUGUUUGUAAGUCCUACUUGGCAUUCAGCUGAUCAAGUU
rnacentral:lncRNA from 1 species